rnacentral:lncRNA from 1 species
CCCAUUUCAUUUUCUCUCCCUAAAACCAUAGGUGGAAAUUAAUAAACAGGUGCAAAUUACAGAGAAAACCCUCAUUUCAUUCCUCUAUGAAUCUUAUAGAGGAAAACCCAAGAAAAUGAAACGAGCCCUGUUUCUCUCUCUAGAACCACAAGCUUUGAAUCCUACACCACAAAAUUAUAUAUGAAAACCACAAGCUUUAAAUCUUCCUAGUCUGUUUCUCUCUCUAGAAAUAGAGGACCGAAAGCUACGAUCCCCUGUAUCUUCUUGGCCUAUUUCUCUCUCUAGAAAUAGAAGACCCAAAGCUAUGAUCCCCAGAGUCUUCCUGGUUUGUUUCUCUAUCUAGAAACAGAGGACCCAAAGCUACAAUCCUCUGUGUCUUCCUGGUCUGUUUCUCUCUCUAGAAAUAGAG